AACGAACGCUGGCGGCAGGCUUAACACAUGCAAGUCGAACGCCCCGCAAGGGGAGUGGCAGACGGGUGAGUAACGCGUGGGAACGUGCCCUUCGGUUCGGAAUAACUCAGGGAAACUUGAGCCAAUACCGGAUACGUGCGAGAGCAGAAAGAUUUAUCGCCGAAGGAUCGGCCCGCGUCCGAUUAGCUAGUUGGUGAGGUAACGGCUCACCAAGGCGACGAUCGGUAGCUGGUCUGAGAGGAUGAUCAGCCACAUUGGGACUGAGACACGGCCCAAACUCCUACGGGAGGCAGCAGUGGGGAAUAUUGGACAAUGGGCGCAAGCCUGAUCCAGCCAUGCCGCGUGAGUGAUGAAGGCCUUAGGGUUGUAAAGCUCUUUCGCCAGGGACGAUAAUGACGGUACCUGGAUAAGAAGCCCCGGCUAACUUCGUGCCAGCAGCCGCGGUAAUACGAAGGGGGCUAGCGUUGUUCGGAUUUACUGGGCGUAAAGCGCACGUAGGCGGAUUUUUAAGUCAGGGGUGAAAUCCCGAGGCUCAACCUCGGAACUGCCCUUGAUACUGGAAGUCUCGAGUCCGGGAGAGGUGAGUGGAACUGCGAGUGUAGAGGUGAAAUUCGUAGAUAUUCGCAAGAACACCAGUGGCGAAGGCGGCUCACUGGCCCGGUACUGACGCUGAGGUGCGAAAGCGUGGGGAGCAAACAGGAUUAGAUACCCUGGUAGUCCACGCCGUAAACGAUGGAUGCUAGCCGUUGGGGAGCUUGCUCUUCAGUGGCGCAGCUAACGCUUUAAGCAUCCCGCCUGUGGAGUACGGUCGCAAGAUUA
rnacentral:rRNA from 1 species